rnacentral:rRNA from 1 species
UAAGCAUAUCAAUAAGCGGAGGAAAAGAAACCAACAGGGAUUACCUUAGUAACGGCGAGUGAAGCGGUAAAUGCUCAAAUUUGAAAGCUGCCAACAGGCCGCGUUGUAAUUUGUAGAAGAUGCUUUGGGUGUCGGCCCAGUCUAAGUUCCUUGGAACAGGACGUCAUAGAGGGUGAGAAUCCCGUAUGUGAUUGGUGCCGUCCCCCGUGUAAAGCUCUUUCGACGAGUCGAGUUGUUUGGGAAUGCAGCUCAAAAUGGGUGGUAAACUUCAUCUAAAGCUAAAUAUUGGCCAGAGACCGAUAGCGCACAAGUAGAGUGAUCGAAAGAUGAAAAGCACUUUGGAAAGAGAGUUAAACAGUACGUGAAAUUGUUGAAAGGGAAGCGCUUGCAAUCAGACUUGCAGGCGGUCGAUCAUCCGAGGUUCUCCCCGGUGCACUCGAUCGUCUUCAGGCCAGCAUCGGUUUCCGUGGUGGGAUAAAGGCUGUGAGAACGUAGCUCUUCGGAGUGUUAUAGCUCACGGUGCAAUGCCGCCUACGGGGACCGAGGACCGCGCUUCGGCUAGGAUGCUGGCGUAAUGGUUGUAAGCGACCCGUCUUGAAACACGGACCAAGGAGUCUAACAUCUAUGCGAGUGUUUGGGUGUCAAACCCAUACGCGUAAUGAAAGUGAACGGAGGUGAGAACCCUUUAGGGCGCAUCAUCGACCGAUCCUGAUGUCUUCGGAUGGAUUUGAGUAAGAGCAUAGCUGUUGGGACCCGAAAGAUGGUGAACUAUGCGUGAAUAGGGUGAAGCCAGAGGAAACUCUGGUGGAGGCUCGCAGCGGUUCUGACGUGCAAAUCGAUCGUCAAAUUUGCGUAUAGGGGCGAAAGACUAAUCGAACCAUCUAGUAGCUGGUUCCUGCCGAA